rnacentral:sRNA from 1 species
GGAUGUGAGGCCAAUUUGGCUGCGACAUAUGUCACUCCAUUGAUCACCAGGGUUGAUUCGGCUAAUCUGGCUGCCUAGGAGGGUGUCGCUUCCUCCCUCACUGCUCCAUGUGCGUCCCUCCUGAAGCUGCACGCUAGGUCGAUGAGGACGGUCUUCCCUGAAUUAAAUGUGUGAAUCCACCUUCUAAGCCAUUUUUUUUUUAUUCAGUUAGAAGGACACACAGAGAAAGAAAGAGUGAGGUAGACAUAAUGGGGAACCUGAAGAUUCCUACAGGCGCUUCCG